UACGGGGGGAGCAAGCGUUGUUCGGAUUUACUGGGCGUAAAGGGCGCGUAGGCGGUCGUGACAAGUCACUUGUGAAAUCUCCGGGCUUAACUCGGAACGGUCAAGUGAUACUGUCGGACUAGAGUACAGAAGGGGCAACUGGAAUUCCCUGUGUAGCGGUGAAAUGCGUAGAGAUGGGGGAGAACACUCGUGGCGAAGGCGGCCAGCUAGACCAGUUCUGACACUGAGGCGCGACAGCGUGGGGAGCAAACAGG
rnacentral:rRNA from 1 species